CCCGGGAGGCGAGUACAGUGGUGCCGGGGAGGGUCAGGGGUCUCGGUGAGAAUUGCGAAUGGUCAAACCCAGAGGUUGCACCCGAGGCCAGGUCCAGAGGGGAGCCCAGGCCACCCUGAGGGACAGGUCCCUGGGUGGGGCGGGAGCCGGAAAAGGAGGAACACACUGGAAUGCGUCCCAGGUUCUCCAUCAAGCUGACGUUGGCAUCAGGGACACUUAGGUGCCUCCAGGUUUGGCUGUGUGUGGUUUCACACCAUCAUGCCAGCUGGCACGCGCGUGCACCCAGUGGUGCUGACACCUCCACAGUGAGCCAGGGAAACCUGCCUGCGGCUGCCACCGCCCCAACCCUGGUAUCCUGGGAGGUUCCUCACGGGCAGCUCGCCCGACCCAGGUGCAGUGAAGAGUCCCCUGUGACUGAGGAGGAGCAGUGACACAGCCAGGGCACAGUGUGAUUCCAGGACUCCCGGACCCCACCCCUGUGACCGAGGAGGAGCAGUGACACAGCCAGGACACAGUGAGACUCCAGGACUCCCCGACCCUGCCCCUGUGACAGAGGAGGAGCAGUGACACAGCCAGGACACGGUGUGACUCCAGGACCCUGCCCCUGUGACCGAGGAGGAGCAGUGACACAGCCAGGGCAUAGUGUGACUCCAGGACCCUGCCCCUGUGACCGAGGAGGAGCAGUGACACAGCCAGGACACAGUGUGACUCCAGGACUCCCGGACCCUGCCCCUGUGACCGAGGAGGAGCAGUGACACAGCCAGGACACAGUGAGACUCCAGGACUCCCCGACCCUGCCCCUGUGACAGAGGAGGAGCAGUGACACAGCCAGGGCAUAGGGUGACUCCAGGACCCUGCCCCUGUGACCGAGGAGGAGCAGUGACACAGCCAGGGCACAGUGUGACUCCAGGACCCUGCCCCUGUGACUGAGGAGGAGCAGUGACACAGCCAGGGCACAGUGUGACUCCAGGACUCCCGGACCCUGCCCCUGUGACUGAGGAGGAGCAGUGACACAGCCAGGGCAUAGUGUGACUCCAGGACCCUGCCCCUGUGACUGAGGAGGAGCAGUGACACAGCCAGGGCACAGUGUGACUCCAGGACUCCCGGACCCUGCCCCUGUGACUGAGGAGGAGCAGUGACACAGCCAGGGCAUAGUGUGACUCCAGGACUCCAGGACCCUCCCCCUGUGACAGAGGAGGAGCAGUGACACAGCCAGGGCACAGUGUGACUCCAGGACCCUGCCCCUGUGACUGAUCGCCUGGGUGCUUUUGCCCCACCAUCCUGACCACUGUCAUCAUGGACCAGUCAGUGGCACUGCUAUCCUCAGACAGGCUGGCCUGGGCUGAAUGGUGGCCUUCAAACUUGGUCAUCAUCCCAAAUAAAAUGACAGGCCCAGCCACACAACACUGAAAUAGAAAACAGGCAAACAAUAGAGACAAUCAACACAACAAAAAGCUGACUCUGAAAAGAUCAAUAAAUUUGAUACAACUCUACCUAUACUGAUUUUUUAAAAGAGAGAAGUGACAAAUUAUUAACAUGAGAAAUGAAAUAGGAAACAUCACUACAGAUCUGACAGACAUUAAAAGGACAAUAAAGAAAUAUGAUGACCAACUUUAUGCCAAUAAAUUUAGACAACUUAUAUAAAAUAAACAGAUUCCUUGAAAUAUAUAAAUUAUCUAAAUUAACUCAAAAAUAUUCCUA
rnacentral:lncRNA from 10 species